CACGAAGGUCACUGGGCACAGUGAGAACUUGGCUCCUCUGGGGGUUCUGAUGCCAAAGGCCUGGUCAGCUCCUGUCUCCAGCUCAGCAGCCUUCUCCCGGCCACAGUGACAGGCCUCUGGGACACCUAAGCAGUUCUGUGGCUUCAUUAUGCUCCCCUCCUGGAGUGACUCCCGAAUCCACCAAUUCCAGAGAACUUGCAUGUAGCAGGGCAAUUUAUUGAGACUUUAAUGGAGCAGAAUAACCGAUUCAGAAAUUACCUAUGUCUUGUUUUUCUCUGCAGCAGGCUCAACACAAAGGCACGAGAGGUGGUGACAGAGACUCCAAAAAAACUAAAAUAGUCAUCUUUCAAGGUUAACAAGGAGCUACUCAGAAGCCUCAGCAUGACUGUCAAUAGCCAAUCAAAGGGAGCUGUCAGCUGCUCCCCUGAGGAAGGGUUUCAGUUAAUGAAGAGAGCAGGGCUGGGGUGGCUGCAUAUGGAGAAGAACCAGCUGUUUGAUAUCCUGCUUUGGAGCCCAAAGCUGAAGGUGAAGGAUGUGGGGUGCUGCAAUUCCCCCAAGCAGAACAGACCAGAAAGGGCCCAGUGGGAUGUCUGCAACCAGGGAAAACUUGCUACAAUCUGGGGCUCAUUCAGUGAAAUCCAUUGUCCUCUCCCCAAGAGAGGGGUACUCAAUUAAAUUUCUCCUGAGGUCUUUUUUCUCCCCCAGUGACCUUUUUCUUGAAAGAUUUUUCUUUUCUCAGAUACUGCAAGGUUAACUCAGAUGAAUAUUAUGGGAUCACAUUUAUGCAAUGUCCUUUACUGAACAUGCGCCUCAGUUUCCUUGUUUAUAAAAUGAAGGAGUGGGCAAAUACAAAAGGGUUGCAUAACACUCUGCCCCAAAAGAAUAUCAUGAGGGUUUUUUUUUUUAAGAGCUAUGGAAACUAAUUAAAAUUAAAAGAGUUUUCCUUCAGAUUCCCAAAUAAACUUCCUUCCUCAAGUGCAGUGUCAGAAGGGAAGAGGCUACUAUUUGGCUACGAUUGCUAACAGACAAUCUGCAGAGAAAGCAGAACCUCACAACUCCUUUUACUUUCAUCUUGUCAGCCAAGAAGACUGAUGUGUCUGGGAAGGUGGGGUAAACACAGGUAGGAAUGCACGGAAGCCCAUGAUGGGUGCAGAGAUAGUGAGAAUACCCCCAAACAAGCUCAAGUCUUCAGUCCUCAACAAAUUACUUCAAGACAGGUGGGACUGGGAACCACAAUCUCUAAUCUUGCAGAAAUAGUGUAAAAAAGAGGUGCCAAGUGCCUGGAGAUAACCACUUUUGUCCCAAUUUUCAAAGAGAGGUAAAAACUACGUUCUGGAAACUGGAGGCUGGUGAGCUUCAUAUUAACUCCCACAAAAUUCUCAACUGUUCUGUUAAAGAGACAACUGGAAGGAAAAUAUUUAGUAAGGAAAAUAAGAAUCAUCAGAAGCUGGCCUGAAUUCAUUAAUAUAAGUUUAUUUCAGGGAUAGUUCUGAUAUCACAUCAAGUUGGAAGAGAAAAGCAGGAUAAUUUGUAAAGUAUUUUUUAAUAAAGAUUUUGUUUGUUUACCUCUACCAGAAUAUAAGCUUCCUGAGGGCAGAAUUUUGGGGGAGGGAAGGAGUCUUUUGUUUACUGUUGCACCUACAAUAAUGUCCAACACAAAGAAGACAUCCAAUAUGCUUCUUUACAGGAAUCAAUACACAUGUAUAAUAAAAAGUUGGCAGGAGAUAGUAAAAUUUAAGUGAGCUCUCUGGUUGAUGUUGGGUUGCUUUCACUUUCUUCUUAAUUUAGGGAUUCUUUUCCUAUAUUUCUCAUUUUCUAUAAUUAGCAUAGGUUACUUUUAUAAUCACAAAAAUAAAAUAAUCUCUUCUUUGAAGGCUUACUCCUGAC
ensembl:lncRNA